AAAGUCUAAACGACUCUCGGCAACGGAUAUCUCGGCUCUCGCAUCGAUGAAGAACGUAGCGAAAUGCGAUACUUGGUGUGAAUUGCAGAAUCCCGUGAACCAUCGAGUCUUUGAACGCAAGUUGCGCCCGAAGCCAUUUGGUUGAGGGCACGCCUGCCUGGGCGUC
rnacentral:rRNA from 1 species